AACCCCAUAGACGCCUGAGCGCGGGACUUCUAAUCCCGGCGUCGCAGGUUCGAAUCCUGCCGGGGACACCA
rnacentral:tRNA from 1 species